UACGUAGGGGGCUAGCGUUGUCCGGAUUUAUUGGGCGUAAAGAGCGUGUAGGCGGCCAGGUAGGUCUGCUGUGAAAACUCGAGGCUUAACCUCGAGAUGUCGGCGGAAACCAUCUGGCUAGAGUCCGGAAGAGGAGAGCGGAAUUCCUGGUGUAGCGGUGAAAUGCGCAGAUAUCAGGAGGAACACCAAUGGCGAAGGCAGCUCGCUGGGACGUGACUGACGCUGAGACGCGAAAGCCAGGGGAGCAAACGGG
rnacentral:rRNA from 1 species